rnacentral:lncRNA from 1 species
CCUCUCCUCCUGCGCCUAUCUUUCUUAUAGAAUGACUUUUGAACUCACUACUACUGUUGCUACUCUCUUAUUACCCCAACUCGCCAACUAAAGGCUCUUCUCUUGCUCAUCCACUGCUCAUGGCGGUAGGAGCUCAACUGUUAUGAAAUAGUGCAUUUCUUCCUAACAUCUUGCUGGCCUAAACUAUCAUAUCUUCUGGUACACGACUUGACUUAUUCUUUACCCGCUUACUUACUUGGUUACUGGAUUG